UUGUCCCUGAACCACCAAACUAGGCCUUGAUGCUGUCCGAUGUGUGAGCCUGCUUGCCCUGUCGCUGCGAUUGAUGGUGAAAUCAUCUGUUCAGAGCCUUUGUGGAGCGCAGAUACCAAGUCAGAUCCAUGAUCCUGCGUCUUCUGUGGCUGGGGAUGCUGGUUGCCAAGUUCCAGAAGGCAACGUACAGAAACUCAUGGCAAAGCCAAAGCUGAGAGUCAGAAGUCCAGAGAGGCUGGACUGCAGAGGAACUGAGUCCUGGCUUGCUUAGAGCUUGAACCACAGCCACCUGACAGAGCCCAGAGGCCAGUUCACUUCCCCUUGCUCUGAAGACACUUCCUUAGGUGCUCUGGUGACGCUCCCCCGGGAGGCCCUGACCCCUGGGGGCUCUUUCCUCUGUCGGGCCUGCAUACUGAAAAUGGUUUUCAAGUGCUGCUCAGCUAUCAAGUAAACCUCCUCAAUCCCUUCUGACUGUUUCUCAUGGGACCUCAUGUCCAGCUGGUGGUAUGCCUAGAAUAGUUAGCCUGCUGGUGCAAUUUCAGGAGAGACAGGAAGUCUCAAGUUAAAGAGCGUUUCUUAAAACACACAGCAGGGGCUCAUGACAACCUCUUUCCCUCCAAGGUAGCAUUUCCUCUGCCAAAGGCACUGUUCUUACGUUUUCCCCUGUAGAC